CCUCCGACUGCGCGCUCUCCUCCCCCGUCCGCGCGCGCGCCCCUCCCGCCUGCGCACCGCGCCCUGCCAUCAGUGCGCGCGGACGCACCGCGAGUGACUGCAGGGUCUGCUCGCUCAGGCCCGCGUCCCACGUUCCCAGCGCUCCACUUCACCUGCCCGCGCGGCCGGAAAGCAGCAAGGAGUCUCGCAGAGGCUCCUCCUCCAGGUUGGCUUCUAACCGCUUGGCUUCCGCAUCUCCCGCCAGUUUGCUUAUUUCCCCUCCCGAAUACUGUAACUCCCGAAUCUUGGAGACUUCGAGCGGUUCAGUCCCGGCGUUCACCCAGGGAUAGGUGACUUGGGUGAGCACAGAAUGGCCAUGAGGUGGUCAACCUCUGUUGCGCCCUGGUUGUCCCGGCAGGGCCUUAGAAAGCCAAGUCUUUGGUGGGAGACGCGGGGACCAGGAGGGCCCGCCCCUCCGGGAGGAGCAAAGCUUCGGCUGACAAGCUGGCCAAUGGGAGGCGAGAACUACUGCACAACGUGGAGCGGCUGCAGAAUGUAAACACAGCCCCCGCGCUGCGGGCCACGUGCGCUCUAGCGCGCCGCAGCUCCUGGCUGGCGCUGCCAUCCCAAGCGGCCACACUCAGGGGAGACUUCCCCAGCUAGCCGGCUAAGCCUUCAAUUCCAGGGCCCCGAGGGCAGAACCCCUCUCUGGAGAGAUUAAGAAGCUUUCCUCAUCCCCACGAGUGUUGUGGCCCUCCAAGAACCCAGCCGGGGGGUGAACAGCUAAAACCACGUGCAGGCCCCUGGCCCGCCCGCCGCGUCCCGCUCCGCCCUGCUGCCAGCGCGCCCUGCGGAGCCCGCGCGAGCCGCCUAGGCGGGAGGGAGCCGCCCUGCGCGCUAAUGGGAGGCAGCGAAUCCCGCUCUUUUCCUUUCCUUUAUUCCUAUAUUUAAGUUUAUGGGUCUCCUAGCUACUUCUCUUAGCGCUCCCAUCCCUGCGCCCCCUUGCACUUCUCCGAUUCGGACACGCAAGUUUUGCGGCGGGAGACAGUUCCCGGAACAAAGACCUCUGGGUCAGAGGAGCCGUUUGAAGGCUUCCUGGAACCGUGGCAGCUCAAGUUGCAAGUCAACUGGGCGCUUUUCUGUCCUGGCCUGGAUGAGUCGUGGGAGAGAGCAGAGAGAAGACCCCACACACGAUCCCCGCAAAGGCCUCUCCAGAGACUGACCCAGAGGCGGCCCGCCAGAGGGACCCUGGCUCCCAGUCCAGGCUUUUUUUGCUGCUCCGCUCGUUAGGGCCCCAGAUCUUAGAAACCAGCGCUUUUGGGGCAGGCAAAAUCCUUUCUCACAGUUUCCCUUUCGAUUCUUAGGACAGUCUCAUGAUGCUAGCCAAAGAAUGAUUUCCCUUCCAAUUUUACACGGAAUAGCCCUGCCCAGUUUGACAUAGAAACAAGAAGUCCAUGCCUUGUCUGUUUCAAGAAACUUUAUAUCAUUCAUAAUGCUUAUGAUGGCUCCCUUUUGCGGUCGCUCAAACCCUUUCCUAUGUAAAGCUUAGCAGUCUAACUCAUGAUGUCAGAAAGGGAGGGUGUCUUCCAACAAGUAUGUUUUAGUCCAGUAUGAGCAAAACUGGUGACCUGUAUGAGUGAAGUUGAUCAUUAAAAUAUGCUGAAAACCAGGGAUGUCAUUAACAUUUGUGGGAUUAAUCUUUCAGUACUGUGUGCCCAGCACUGGCAUACACUAAAUUAAUUGUAAGCAAGGCAUUGUUAUUAGACAUGUACUUGGUCUUAUCCUUGACUAUUAUAUGAACCAAGUGCAAUUGUAGUAAGGAAGAAAUUAGAGUGGUCCCCAAACAGCUUUGUAAAUGAAGGAAUGGGGUGAAUGCUACCAUUUUAUAAAUACCUGGUUAGUGGACAAAUGGGUCUGUAAAAACCAUGGGCUUUCAGACCAACUAAAUUCCAGUCUUGUGCUGCUGCAAGUUACCAAUCCCUCUAACAUGGGUUUUCUCUAGAAAAGUUGUAAGUAGGCAUUCAUCUCAAAGGUUAUUUUAUUUGUUGCUUUUUUUUUUUUUUUUUUUUGGAACUAGGGGUUGAACCCAGAGCUUUUUGCAAAUGCAAGGCAGAUGCUUUGCCACUGAGCUACAUCCCAGCCCUCAAUGGUUAUUUUAAUGAUUAAAUUUAAUAAUGUACAUAGAGACCUCCCUAUGUGUACCUGUCACAAGGUAUGGAUGCUCAAUAAGUACUAGUUCUUCUUACUCUUAACUUCUCUUAUUCACCUCCCCUUACCAGUAGAAAUUAUAAUUCAGCAUUCUGAAUAAAAUAGAAAGCUGAGUUAUAAAAUUUAUGUUUCCCAGAAUUUUGUUCAUGUAGUUAUCCUUUGUUGGACACCUAUUGGGAGGGUCAUCGUUCAAUAUGUCAUCUUUUUUAUAAUUUUAUGUGCUCAUUUUUUGACUUCCUCUUUUUCCAGUCAUCCCAGUUUUAAAGUUCACCUACUUUGAAACAUAUGAAAUUCCUUUAUACUUUUUAAUAAUUUUAGAAAUUUUGGCUUUUUCUUUCUUGUACUGGCGAUUGAAUCCAACACCUUGUGCACGCUAGGCAAGUGACCUACCACUAACCUACAUUCCCAGCCCUUUUUAUUUUGAGACAGGGUCUCAGUGAGUUGUCAAGGUUGACCUCAAACUUGAUAUCCUCUUGCCUCAGCCUCCCAAGUAGCUGAGAUUAUAGGAAUGUACCCCUUUAUCUAGCCAGAAGUCUUGACAUUUUCUAAAGUAUAUUUUCCCUGUUGUGUAUGUCCUAAAAUGCCAUGGCAAAUAAACUCUUGACCUCUGUAGUGCUUCAUUUGCACAAUGCUUUUUAUUCCUGUUUAUUUUUGUGAGGGUGACGGUAAGAUUUUUUUUUUGGGGGGGGGGUGGUAAUAGUGUUGGUUCUGGGAUCAAACCCAGGAACUCUGAGCUACAUCUUUCAGCCUUUUUACUAGUUUUUGUUUAGAGAUAGGAUCUUGCUAAGUUGCUGCGGCUGGCCUGAAAUUUGUGAUUCCCUGCCUAAGAAUGGCUGGGAUUAUGGGCAUGUACCACUCUGUCUGGCCCAGAAAUAUUCUUUUUCUUCUCUCUUUUAUUUAUUUAUUAUUCUAAUUUGUUAUAUAUGACAGCAGAAUGCAUUACAAUUCAUAUGACAUAUAUAGAGCACAAUUUUUCAUAUCUGUUGGGUGUGUGGGAGACUCCCCCUUCCUGGAGAACAUCUUGGAAUCCCUUACUCCUCCCGUACCUCUUCAAAGGGCGCCAAGCCAAGAACACCAAAUUCAAAGGUUUCCUCCACCAAUCCCCGCAGGACACAAUGUCCGCUUGUUGAGUCACCCUACCAAUCAGCACCCACCAUGUGCCCUGUGCAACCCUUCUUUAGCCAAAGCUUGUAAGCACAUGUUCCUCUCUCUCUUUCUGCCCCCCUCCUCUUCUCUCUGCUCUCUACUUCUCCUUUGAGCAGCCACCCAAUAAAAUCUCUUGGUUGAAUCUC